rnacentral:rRNA from 1 species
CGAAUACCGGAGAAUGUUAUCACGGGAGACACACGGCGGGUGCUAACGUCCGUCGUGAAGAGGGAAACAACCCAGACCGCCAGCUAAGGUCCCAAAGUCAUGGUUAAGUGGGAAACGAUGUGGGAAGGCCCAGACAGCCAGGAUGUUGGCUUAGAAGCAGCCAUCAUUUAAAGAAAGCGUAAUAGCUCACUGGUCGAGUCGGCCUGCGCGGAAGAUGUAACGGGGCUAAACCAUGCACCGAAGCUGCGGCAGCGACGCUUAUGCGUUGUUGGGUAGGGGAGCGUUCUGUAAGCCUGUGAAGGUGUGCUGUGAGGCAUGCUGGAGGUAUCAGAAGUGCGAAUGCUGACAUAAGUAACGAUAAAGCGGGUGAAAAGCCCGCUCGCCGGAAGACCAAGGGUUCCUGUCCAACGUUAAUCGGGGCAGGGUGAGUCGACCCCUAAGGCGAGGCCGAAAGGCGUAGUCGAUGGGAAACAGGUUAAUAUUCCUGUACUUGGUGUUACUGCGAAGGGGGGACGGAGAAGGCUAUGUUGGCCGGGCGACGGUUGUCCCGGUUUAAGCGUGUAGGCUGGUUUUCCAGGCAAAUCCGGAAAAUCAAGGCUGAGGCGUGAUGACGAGGCACUACGGUGCUGAAGCAACAAAUGCCCUGCUUCCAGGAAAAGCCUCUAAGCAUCAGGUAACAUCAAAUCGUACCCCAAACCGACACAGGUGGUCAGGUAGAGAAUACCAAGGCGCUUGAGAGAACUCGGGUGAAGGAACUAGGCAAAAUGGUGCCGUAACUUCGGGAGAAGGCACGCUGAUAUGUAGGUGAAGUCCCUCGCGGAUGGAGCUGAAAUCAGUCGAAGAUACCAGCUGGCUGCAACUGUUUAUUAAAAACACAGCACUGUGCAAACACGAAAGUGGACGUAUACGGUGUGACGCCUGCCCGGUGCCGGAAGGUUAAUUGAUGGGGUUAGCGCAAGCGAAGCUCUUGAUCGAAGCCCCGGUAAACGGCGGCCGUAACUAUAACGGUCCUAAGGUAGCGAAAUUCCUUGUCGGGUAAGUUCCGACCUGCACGAAUGGCGUAAUGAUGGCCAGGCUGUCUCCACCCGAGACUCAGUGAAAUUGAACUCGCUGUGAAGAUGCAGUGUACCCGCGGCAAGACGGAAAGACCCCGUGAACCUUUACUAUAGCUUGACACUGAACAUUGAGCCUUGAUGUGUAGGAUAGGUGGGAGGCUUUGAAGUGUGGACGCCAGUCUGCAUGGAGCCGACCUUGAAAUACCACCCUUUAAUGUUUGAUGUUCUAACGUUGACCCGUGAUCCGGGUUGCGGACAGUGUCUGGUGGGUAGUUUGACUGGGGCGGUCUCCUCCUAAAGAGUAACGGAGGAGCACGAAGGUUGGCUAAUCCUGGUCGGACAUCAGGAGGUUAGUGCAAUGGCAUAAGCCAGCUUGACUGCGAGCGUGACGGCGCGAGCAGGUGCGAAAGCAGGUCAUAGUGAUCCGGUGGUUCUGAAUGGAAGGGCCAUCGCUCAACGGAUAAAAGGUACUCCGGGGAUAACAGGCUGAUACCGCCCAAGAGUUCAUAUCGACGGCGGUGUUUGGCACCUCGAUGUCGGCUCAUCACAUCCUGGGGCUGAAGUAGGUCCCAAGGGUAUGGCUGUUCGCCAUUUAAAGUGGUACGCGAGCUGGGUUUAGAACGUCGUGAGACAGUUCGGUCCCUAUCUGCCGUGGGCGCUGGAGAA